rnacentral:rRNA from 1 species
CAAUAGCGUAUAUUUAAGUUGUUGCAGUUAAAAAGCUCGUAGUUGGAUUUCGGGUGUGAACGACCGGUCCGUCUUUGAUGUGUACUGGUUGGUUGCGCCUUAUUGUCGAGGACGUGGUUCUAGCUUUCAUUAGCCGGGACACGGAGUCGGCAGCGUUACUUUGAGAAAAUUAGAGUGUUCAAAGCAGGCUAUCGCUCUGAAUACUACAGCAUGGAAUAACACGAUAGGACUCCGAGCCUAUUCUGUUGGUCUUCGGGACCGGAGUAACGAUUAAGAGGGACAGUUGGGGGCAUUCGUAUUCCGAUGUCAGAGGUGAAAUUCUUGGAUUAUCGGAAGACGAACAUCUGCGAAAGCAUUUGCCAAGGAUGUUUUCAUUAA